UACGUAGGGGGCAAGCGUUGGUCCGGAUUUAUUGGGCGUAAAGAGCUCGUAGGCGGUUUGGUAAGUCGGAUGUGAAAUCUCCAGGCUCAACCUGGAGGGGUCAUUCGAGACUGCUAUGACUAGAGUUCGGUAGAGGAGUGUGGAAUUCCUGGUGGAGCGGUGAAAUGCGCAGAUAUCAGGAGGAACACCCGUAGCGAAGGCGGCACUCUGGGCCGAUACUGACGCUGAGGAGCGAAAGCGUGGGGAGCGAACAGG
rnacentral:rRNA from 1 species